CAUGGGACCCACACGAUAGGAGGGAGGGGAGUCACCAUCCUUUUUUCUUUCUUGCUCCCAAAGGCAUACACAAAGACAGAAUUUACACAUACACAUCCAUUCAUAUAUACUACACACAACACUCACCUUUCACGCACACAGUCCUCACCAAUAUAUUCUCAUUCAUCCUCAUGAAAAAAAACCUAGUUUAUAUGCACACACAGACGAAAAGGGACGGAUACACCUUCUUUUUCUUCUUCUGGGUUCACCAUUUUUUUUCCAUUUAAUAAUAAACAGAUUCCACAUAGUAGAUGCUCUCCAUUCUUUUUUCUAUUUUUAGAGAAAACACGCACACACAGUGAGUUUGAAAUAGAGAGAGAGGAGAGAGGGAAUUAAAGAGAGACAUCAAGUGACGAGAGAGAGAUCGAGAUCGAGAUCGAGAGAGAUAGAUCAGUUGAGAGAGACAGCGAGAGAGGGAAGUUGAGUAAACAUCAGUGAUCCAUCACUGAUGCCAUCACUGUUCCAGCAUCGGGACUCUCAUCGAAGCUCCGGAUAGGCCGCUAUAACCCAGCGGACUGGUUUGGUCAAGCCAUCGCUGGAAAACGAUAACAGGCGAACCCUUUUCCUUACCUCAAGUCCAUUUUUUUAACCUUCAUCUCAGAUUCCCCCGAAUACAAAUCUGGUUCUCUUUGUUCCGCAAUUUCCAGUUCGAGUUUGGUUGGUUCACCAAAUUUCAGUCCAUAUUUCUCUCUGUUUUUGUGAUUUGUGAUACCGAGUUUGGAUUUGUUAGCUAUAGAGGUUCAAAUCGAGGCCUUUUGGAUGCGAUUCUAUCUCCGAUAUAUUGAAAUCGUCGAUUGAGAUUUGGGCAACACUCAGCAAGCUAAACUUGAAUCCAUCAACAAAAUAGACUUCAUCAAUUGCCUCAUUCAAACUUUUCUCAAUUUUUCAAACUCCAACAAUGUACCCUUGGUUACCAUCACCAAAAAAAGACAUUGCCACCUUCAGGGGCCUUGAGCGAGAGGAAGUUUUCAAUUCUCCCAGUCACAUGCUUUGAACAACCACUAUCCAAGAUCAAGUGGUGGCUGGUUUUUCUAGCUUUGCCCUGCAAUUACAAUCAGUGUCAGUUUUGGGAAACCAUUUUAGCUUGAGCUCCCAGUGAGGUAACAAUGGAAAUAUUAAGCAGGUCAAGGCAUUGGUAACCCUCUUCUUAGACGAGCGAAGCUCCCUACUAGAAAGGGCAUGAUGGUUACCUCCUCUGCAGCUGAACAAGUUGGCGAAGAGAUGAAGGCUGUCAAAGAGAAUCUUAUCACCAAUCAACCAUCUCCUUAUAGCUACACAAAUUAUAUGGCAUGUUUAAGAUUAGAAAUUUCAAAAAAUUUAUAAUCACAUAAAUAUUAUGGCAUACUUACAACCACAAAAAUAGACUAAUAUGCUUAUAAUUUUAUUAAUUAUGCUUAUUUUCCCAUCAUCUAGGAACAUAUCUGGUGUGCUACAUUAACUAGAUGGGCAGAAAGGAUAGCAAAGGAAAAUCAAUAGCUACUCGUUCAGAAAGGAAAGUAGAUUAAUCGAGUAUAAAUCAUUUCAAAAAAGGUAUUAGAGGACUGCAUAAAAAAAUGUCCCUCAUCGACUGACACAACAAAAGACCAGGAGUUGGAGGGCGUUAAAUGCAUUAAAAGGAUCUUCGAGGAAACAUACUAACCGGACGGGGUCAAUGGGCGAUCAAGAAGGCCCAUUGCCUAGGUGGGUGACUUCCAUUGCACUUUGGAGGGGCGCCUGCCUAAGGCCAACCCAAGUGGUUGAGCCUACGUUUAAUUUUUGGCAGUGGGGGCCUGUGUUAGCACGGCCCCUAUCCAGUUCUUAAACAAAUUUUUUUAUGUUCCAAAAAUCUUUCUCGGCAGAACAUUUUUUUCACUAAUUCUUUCAAUUGUAUGCACUUAAGAGUUAACACAAAUCUGCUUUGGAAAGUUUAUUUGGUCGA